rnacentral:tRNA from 1 species
AUUUAAAUAGCUUAUAUGUAGAGCAUGACACUGAAGAUGUUAAGGAAAUUGAAUAAUUUUUAAAUA